GAACUGAAGAGUUUGAUCAUGGCUCAGAUUGAACGCUGGCGGCAGGCCUAACACAUGCAAGUCGAGCGGUAGAGAGAAGCUUGCUUCUCUUGAGAGCGGCGGACGGGUGAGUAAUGCCUAGGAAUCUGCCUGGUAGUGGGGGAUAACGUCCGGAAACGGACGCUAAUACCGCAUGCGUCCUACGGGAGAAAGCAGGGGACCUUCGGGCCUUGCGCUAUCAGAUGAGCCUAGGUCGGAUUAGCUAGUUGGUGAGGUAAUGGCUCACCAAGGCGACGAUCCGUAACUGGUCUGAGAGGAUGAU
rnacentral:rRNA from 1 species